AAUAAGCUAAUUAAGAGCGUAAGGUGGAUGCCUUGGCUCUCAGAGGCGAUGAAGGACGUGAUAAGCUGCGAUAAGCUACGGGGAUUGGCACACACAAUUUGAUUCGUAGAUUUCCGAAUGGGGAAACCCACUAUAUUGAAGAUAUAGUAUCCGUUAAGGAAGCAAACCCAGGGAACUGAAACAUCUAAGUACCUGGAGGAAUAGAAAACAAAAGUGAUUCCGCUAGUAGUGGCGAGCGAACGCGGAUCAGCCCAAACCAAAAUUGUUUCGGCAAUUUUGGGGUUGUAGGACCACGACAUUGAGUGUUUAAUGAAUUAGAAUUCUUUGGAAAAAGAAACCAUAGAGGGUGAUAGUCCCGUAUAAGUAAAGAGAAUUAUUCAUAGUGGUAUCCUGAGUAGCGCGGGACACGUGUAAUCCUGUGUGAAUCUGGCGGGAC
rnacentral:rRNA from 1 species